ACCCGCGCAAUAAAGUUAAAUAUUGUUAAUUAAAAUCAAUUUAAACGUAUUUGUCUAGCGAUACGUCAGUAUAGGAAAAAAAAUGUGAACCAUUUCCGUUGACACGACCGCAAUAGUAAUAAUAAUAAUUAUUAAUUAAUAACCGUAUUAAUCGUCUUACCCGGACGUUUCCUUUUACAGAACUUUAUAUCACUGUAUGUGACUGUAACUGUUACACGUGUUAUUAACUGGGCAUACAGAGGACCUCCGUUAUAAAAAAAAAAAAAAAAAUUCUGUGGUUUGAAUUGCUUUUUCUUCUUUUGUUUUGUACCGCCCAAUUCUUUAACGUCUAUACGAUCCGAUGAAACGUAUACGUACAUGUAUAUAAUAGUUAAUAUAAUAUAUUCUUACAUUCGUAAUCUGAACGGUCGGCCACACGCCGUUUAUUACGUUAAUAUACCGAACGAAACGAAACGACGAGACGAACAAACCAGCACGAAUCUAUACCAUCGUCAUAAUAAUAUACUCGUAUAUACAAUAAUCGGGAAACGGUAAA